rnacentral:rRNA from 1 species
UACGUAGGGGGCAAGCGUUGUCCGGAAUUAUUGGGCGUAAAGCGCACGUAGGCGGCAUUGCAAGUCGGAUGUGAAAUCCCUCGGCUUAACCAAGGAAGUGCAUCCGAAACUGCAGUGCUUGAGUACUUAAGAGGAUCGCGGAAUUCCCGGUGUAGAGGUGAAAUUCGUAGAUAUCGGGAGGAACACCAGUGGCGAAGGCGGCGAUCUGGGAAGAUACUGACGCUGAGGUGCGAAAGCGUGGGGAGCAAACAGG